rnacentral:tRNA from 1 species
CGACCAAUGAUAUGAAAAACCAUCGUUGUCAUUCAACUACAAGAAC